rnacentral:rRNA from 1 species
UACAGAGGCCUCAAGCGUUGUUCGGAUUCAUUGGGCGUAAAGGGUGCGUAGGCGGCGCGGUAAGUCGGGUGUGAAAUCUCGGGGCUUAACUCCGAAACUGCAUUCGAUACUGCCGUGCUUGAGGACUGGAGAGGAGACUGGAAUUUACGGUGUAGCGGUGAAAUGCGUAGAUAUCGUAAGGAACACCAGUGGCGAAGGCGGCGAUCUGGGAAGAUACUGACGCUGAGAGGCGAAAGCGUGGGGAGCAAACAGG